GAUGAACGCUGGCGGCGUGCCUAAUACAUGCAAGUCGAGCGAACGGACGAGAAGCUUGCUUCUCUGAUGUUAGCGGCGGACGGGUGAGUAACACGUGGAUAACCUACCUAUAAGACUGGGAUAACUUCGGGAAACCGGAGCUAAUACCGGAUGAUAUUUUGAACCGCAUGGUUCAAAAGUGAAAGACGGUCUUGCUGUCACUUAUAGAUGGAUCCGCGCUGCAUUAGCUAGUUGGUAAGGUAACGGCUUACCAAGGCAACGAUGCAUAGCCGACCUGAGAGGGUGAUAGGCCACACUGGAACUGAGACACGGUCCAGACUCCUACGGGAGGCAGCAGUAGGGAAUCUUCCGCAAUGGGCGAAAGCCUGACGGAGCAACGCCGCGUGAGUGAUGAAGGUCUUCGGAUCGUAAUACUCUGUUAUUAGGGAAGAACAUAUGUGUAAGUAACUGUGCACAUCUUGACGGUACCUAAUCAGAAAGCCACGGCUAACUACGUG
rnacentral:rRNA from 1 species